rnacentral:lncRNA from 1 species
GCGCCGUUGCCGGGGAACGGUAGCUGUGCUAGUUUCGAACCAAGUCGUCCGUGUAUCCUUUUUAUUUUCCUUUUUUACCACACUCAUCUUAUCAUUUUCACCAUACCACAUGGAUUUCACUCUAAGCAUUAAUGAGCAUGGAAUUUAUUUCAUAGCCACUUCAUUUACUCCAUGCUCAUAUGCAACAUCUUCACAAUACAUUGGUCUCUCCAACAUCACCACAUUCG